rnacentral:rRNA from 1 species
AUGAUUAGAGCGGCGGACGGGUGAGUAACGCGUAGGAAUCUACCUAGUAGAAGGGGAUAGCCCGGGGAAACCCGGAUUAAUACCGCAUGAUCUCUACGGAGCAAAGCUGGGGACCUUCGGGCCUGGCGCUUUUGGAGGAGCCUAUGUCUGAUUAGCUUGUUGGUGAGGUAACGGCUCACCAAGGCUACGAUCAGUAACUGGUCUGAGAGGACGAUCAGCCACACUGGAACUGAGACACGGUCCAGACUCC